rnacentral:rRNA from 1 species
UACGGAGGGUGCGAGCGUUGUCCGGAAUCACUGGGCGUAAAGGACGCGUAGGCGGCCUGAUAAGUAGGGGGUGAAAUCCUGCGGCUUAACCGCAGGGCUGCCUUCUAAACUGUCAGGCUUGAGCACAGUAGAGGCAGGUGGAAUUCCCGGUGUAGCGGUGGAAUGCGUAGAGAUCGGGAAGAACAUCAGUGGCGAAGGCGGCCUGCUGGGCUGUUGCUGACGCUGAGGCGCGAGCAGCGUGGGGAGCAAACAGG